CCUUCCGGCAUCCCAGGCGGGGCGCCGCGGGACCGCCCUCGUGUCUGUGGCGGUGGGAUCCCGCGGCCGUGUUUUCCUGGUGGCCCGGCC
ncrna:Pan troglodytes (chimpanzee) microRNA ptr-mir-663a precursor